GAUGAACGCUAGCGGCAGGCCUAAUACAUGCAAGUCAAGGGGAUAGCAAUAUCACCGGCGGACGGGUGCGUAACGCGUACACAACGUGCCCAAGGGCGGAGGAAAGCGGCGGGAAACUGCCGGUAAUACUCCAUGGUGUUGUUGAGUGGCAUCACUUAACAACUAAAGUACAAGCGCCCUUGGAUCGGUGUGCGUUCGAUUAGCUAGUUGGCGGGGUAACGGCCCACCAAGGCUUCGAUCGAUAGGGGGUGUGAGAGCAUGACCCCCCACACGGGUACUGAGACACGGUCCAGACUCCUACGGGAGGCAGCAGUGGGGAAUUUUGGACAAUGGGCGCAAGCCUGAUCCAGCCAUGCCGCGUGAGUGAAGAAGGCCUUCGGUUGUAAG
rnacentral:rRNA from 1 species